rnacentral:rRNA from 1 species
CGGCGGACGGGUGAGUAACACGUGGAUAACUUACCUAUAAGACUGGGAUAACUUCGGGAAACCGGAGCUAAUACCGGAUAAUAUAUUGAACCGCAUGGUUCAAUAGUGAAAGACGGUUUUGCUGUCACUUAUAGAUGGAUCCGCGCCGCAUUAGCUAGUUGGUAAGGUAACGGCUUACCAAGGCAACGAUGCGUAGCCGACCUGAGAGGGUGAUCGGCCACACUGGAACUGAGACACGGUCCAGACUCCUACGGGAGGCAGCAGCU